UACGUAGGCAGCGAGCGUUGUUCGGAAUUACUGGGCGUAAAGAGUGUGUAGGCGGUGCUCCCAGUCUGUUGUGAAAUCUCCCGGCUUAACUGGGAGGGUGCAGCGGAAACUAGAGUGCUAGAGGGUGGGAGAGGUAAGCGGAAUUCCUGGUGUAGCGGUGAAAUGCGUAGAGAUCGGGAGGAAUACCAGAGGCGAAGGCGGCGGACUGGACAGUCACUGACACUCAACUACGAAAGCGUGGGUAGCAAACAGG
rnacentral:rRNA from 1 species